rnacentral:rRNA from 1 species
ACAUGCCUAUAGCAUAGCGUUAAUGCACUGGAUCCAAUUAGAACUUCAUAGUUAAGCGCGCUCAUGCUAGAGUAGUAUUGGGAUGUGUGACUUCUCAGGAAGUGUUAGUAUUUUACAUGCC